rnacentral:snRNA from 1 species
AGAGGAUUGUUUGAGCCCAGGAGUUUGAGGUCACAGUGAGCUGUAGUCAUGCCACUGCACUCCAGCCUAGGCAACAGAA